rnacentral:lncRNA from 1 species
ACAUGCAAGGCGAAGUGGAGUUUGAGGAUGGGGAGAACGGUGAGGAUGGAGCAGCCUCCCCCAGGAACGUGGGCCAUAACAUCUACAUCCUCGCUCACCAGUUGGCUCGGCAUAACAAAGAACUUCAAACCAUGCUGAAACCUGGAGGCCAGGUGGAUGGCGAUGAAGCUCUGGAGUUCUAUGCGAAGCACACAGCACAAAUUGAGGUAUAAACCAGUCAAGCUAUAAACGGAAUACUCAGGCAGCAAGGCCUGGACCUGCAGUAGAUGGUACCCUGUCCCAGGGUUGGCAUGUUCUCUCUGCUCUGAGCAAUAAAAAUGUUGAAGUGC